GAUGAACGCUGGCGGCGUGCCUAAUACAUGCAAGUCGAGCGAACAGAUGAGGAGCUUGCUCCUCUGACGUUAGCGGCGGACGGGUGAGUAACACGUGGAUAACCUACCUAUAAGACUGGGAUAACUUCGGGAAACCGGAGCUAAUACCGGAUAAUAUAUUGAACCGCAUGGUUCAAUAGUGAAAGACGGUUUUGCUGUCACUUAUAGCUGGAUCCGCGCCGCAUUAGCUAGUUGGUAAGGUAACGGCUUACCAAGGCAACGAUGCGUAGCCGACCUGAGAGGGUGAUCGGCCACACUGGAACUGAGACACGGUCCAGACUCCUACGGGAGGCAGCAGUAGGGAAUCUUCCGCAAUGGGCGAAAGCCUGACGGAGCAACGCCGCGUGAGUGAUGAAGGUCUUCGGAUCGUAAAACUCUUUUAUUAGGGAAGAACAAAUGUGUAAGUAACUAUGCACGUCUUGACGGUACCUAAUCAGAAAGCCACGGCUAACUACGUG
rnacentral:rRNA from 1 species